rnacentral:rRNA from 1 species
UGAACGCUGGCGGCGGGCCUAACACAUGCAAGUCGAGCGGUAACAGAUCUAGCUUGCUAGAUGCUGACGAGCGGCGGACGGAUGCGUAACACGUAGGAAUCUGCCCAGUAGUGGGGGAUAGCCCGGAGAAAUCCGGAUUAAUACCGCAUACGCCCUAAGGGGGAAAGCAGGGGAUCUUCGGACUUUGCGCUACUGGAUUAGCCUGCGUCGGAUUAGCUUGUUGGCGGGGUAAAGGCCUACCAAGGCGACGAUCCGUAGCUGGUCUGAGAGGAUGAUCAGCCACACUGGGACUGAGACACGGCCCAGACUCCUACGGGAGGCAGCAGUGGGGAAUAUUGCACAAUGGGCGAAAGCCUGAUGCAGCCAUGCCGCGUGUGUGAAGAAGGCUCUAGGGUUGUAAAGCACUUUCAGCGAGGAGGAAAGGUUAUUGGUUAAUACCCAAUAGCUGUGACGUUACUCGCAGAAGAAGCACCGGCUAA